rnacentral:rRNA from 1 species
UACGUAGGGGGCAAGCGUUGUCCGGAAUCAUUGGGCGUAAAGAGCGUGUAGGCGGUCCGGUAAGUCGGCUGUGAAAGUCCAGGGCUCAACCCCUGGGAUGCCGGUCGAUACUGCCGGACUAGAGUUCGGAAGAGGCGAGUGGAAUUCCCGGUGUAGCGGUGAAAUGCGCAGAUAUCGGGAGGAACACCUAUGGCGAAGGCAGCUCGCUGGGACGUUACUGACGCUGGAGACGCGAAAGCGUGGGGAGCAAACAGG